rnacentral:rRNA from 1 species
GAUGAACGCUGGCGGCGUGCCUAAUACAUGCAAGUCGAGCGAACGGACGAUAAGCUUGCGCCCUUGAUGUUAGCGGGGGACGGGCGAGUAACACGUACAUAACCAACUUAUAAGACGGGGAGGAUUUCGGGAAAACGCUGACGAUAAUAGAGCAUACUACGAACGGCAUGGUUCAAAAGUGCUAGACGGUCUGGGUGUUUGAUUGAGACGGAGUCGCGUUGCAUUAGCUAGUUGGUAAGGUAACGGCCUACCAAGGCGACGAUGCGUAGCCGAUCUGAGAGGAUGAUCAGCCACACUGGAACUGAGACACGGUCCAGACUCCUACGGGAGGCAGCAGUAGGGAAUCUUCCACAAUGGGCGCAAGCCUGACCCAGCCAUGCCGCGUGAGUGAUGAAGGUCUUCGGAUCGUAAAACCCUGUUAUUGGGAAAGAAAAUCUGUAUGUGAAUCCGUCCAUGUCUUGACGGUACCUAAACAGUAAGCAACGGCUAACUUCGUG